AUUGAACGCUGGCGGCAUGCCUUACACAUGCAAGUCGAACGGCAGCACGGGGCAACCUGGUGGCGAGUGGCGAACGGGUGAGUAAUGCAUCGGAACGUACCUUUCAGUGGGGGAUAACGUAGCGAAAGUUACGCUAAUACCGCAUAUUCUGUGAGCAGGAAAGCAGGGGAUCGCAAGACCUUGCGCUGAUUGAGCGGCCGAUGUCAGAUUAGCUAGUUGGUGAGGUAAAGGCUCACCAAGGCGACGAUCUGUAGCGGGUCUGAGAGGAUGAUCCGCCAAACUGGAACUGAGAAACGGUCCAGACUCCUACGGGAGGCAGCAGUGGGGAAUUUUGGACAAUGGGGGCAACCCUGAUCCAGCCAUGCCGCGUGAGUGAAGAAGGCCUUCGGGUUGUAAAGCUCUUUCGGCCGGGAAGAAAUCGCACGGGCUAAUACCCUGUGUGGAUGACGGUACCGGAAUAGGAAGCACCGGCUAACUACGUGCCAGCCGCCGCCGUAAGAC
rnacentral:rRNA from 1 species